rfam:Myotis brandtii contig218780, whole genome shotgun sequence.
AUCGCUUCUCGGCCUUUUGGCUCAGAUCAAGUGUAGUCUAUGUUCCUAUCAGUUUAAUAGCUGAUACAUCCUCUAUUUUAAAAAAAUACAAAAUGAAGAACCCCUU